UACAGAGGUCCCAAGCGUUGUUCGGAUUCACUGGGCGUAAAGCGUGCGUAGACGGUUUUGUAAGUCGGAUGUGAAAUCCCCGGGCUCAACCUGGGAAUUGCAUUCGAGACUGCAAGGCUUGGGUGCGGAAGAGGGAAGCGGAAUUUCCGGUGUAGCGGUGAAAUGCGUAGAUAUCGGGAGGAACACCGGUGGCGAAGGCGGUUCUCUGGGCCUGUACUGACGCUGAGGAGCGAAAGCGUGGGGAGCGAACAGG
rnacentral:rRNA from 1 species